GACGAACGCUGGCGGCGUGCUUAACACAUGCAAGUCGAACGGGCUCUGUCUGGCUGUGUGCUGGGUGGGGUUAGUGGCGAACGGGUGAGUAAUACGUGAGUAACCUGCCCUCUUCUUUGGGAUAAGCCUUGGAAACGGGGUCUAAUACUGGAUAUUCCUGUCUGGUCGCAUGGCUGGGUGGGGAAAGUUUUUUUCGGUGGGGGAUGGGCUCGCGGCCUAUCAGCUUGUUGGUGGGGUGAUGGCCUACCAAGGCGUCGACGGGUAGCCGGCCUGAGAGGGUGACCGGCCACAGUGGGACUGGGAUACGGCCCAGACUCCUACGGGGGGCAGCAGUGGGGGAUAUUGCACAAUGGGCGCAAGCCUGAUGCAGCGACGCCGCGUGGGGGAUGACGGCUUUCGGGUUGUAAACCUCUUUCGUCGGGGGACAAGGCUCUGCUUGGUGGUGGGGUUGAGGGUACCCGGUGAAGAAGCGCCGGCUAACUACGUG
rnacentral:rRNA from 1 species